rnacentral:rRNA from 1 species
GAUGAACGCUAGCUACAGGCUUAACACAUGCAAGUCGCGGGGCAGCAUGGGGGUUGCUUGCAAUCCCCGAUGGCGACCGGCGCACUGGUGAGUAACGCGUAUCCAACCUGCCCUUCACCACGGGAUAACCCGGCGAAAGUCGGACUAAUACCGUAUGUUGUCCAUUGACGGCAUCCGAUUUGGACGAAAGGUUUGGCGGUGAAGGAUGGGGAUGCGUCCGAUUAGCUGGACGGCGGGGUGACGGCCCACCGUGGCGACGAUCGGUAGGGGUUCUGAGAGGAAGGUCCCCCACACUGGAACUGAGACACGGUCCAGACUCCUACGGGAGGCAGCAGUGAGGAAUAUUGGUCAAUGGGCGUAAGCCUGGACCAGCCAAGUAGCGUGCAGGAUGACGGCCCUAUGGGUUGUAAACUGCUUUUAUGCGGGGAUAAAGUGGCCCACGUGUGGGUUUUUGCAGGUACCGCAUGAAUAAGGACCGGCUAAUUCCGUG